GUCAACGACCCAGGUCUGAAGACACUGGGCUUCUAGCCUAAGACUUAAACCAUAGUUGACCAGACUAAGUUCCUUGAGUACUACGUUAACGGCAAGAGUUAAAGACCUACCAAGAAAUGCGUAGCUAGUUUCUUGCUCUAGAAAUUGAGAAUUAAACAGACUUAUUGGGUUAAGUCAGUGUUCUCAAUAUAGUUACCGACCGUUAACUUUGUCAAAGCUAACUUUAC
rfam:Mastigocladus laminosus TT774 scaffold_5, whole genome shotgun sequence.